AGAAGCGAGCUAGUCCCGAUUUUCAUUUUACAUAUAGAGGCGCUUAUCAAAUCUGCCGCUUGAUAACCGGCCUAAACAGCGAGGAAGGCAAGAUACGGCCAGAUAGACACAGACUACGUAUAAGAGACCAGGGCAGGCGGAAACCCAUUUCAUCAGCCUACAAACCACCGACUACUUUUACCAUACCCUGCACCAAAUCUCUCCGCCUCUGAUACAGUGUGCAGUGAUUUCAAGACAGUUUCACAUAUCACAUGAUCAUCAAUAUUAUCAUGUGAUUGCCUUCUGACAACUUCGACUGGAGAUAAAAAGCUGGCUGUCAUGUGAUAACUGCCUCAACCACCCAGACCUAGACCCGCAUAAGCAGCAGCAACAUCAUCAUCAUAAUUAGCAGCAACAGUACAAAGCAGCAGUAGCAGCAGCAGCAGCAGCUAAUCCGGGUUGCUCUCAACUGACCCAAGUGUUGUAAAGCGAGGCUAUAUCUUGCGUUUGUACGAGCUACUUCUAUCAUUUCCAUCUCGGGCGACUGUUACAAUCAGACGGGACAGUGAUACCAGGUGAGAUCUUCCUUACCCUUGGGGUCUGAUAGACGAUAACAUGGCGAUAUGGACGCCCUCUUUAGGUUUGAUCGUUUAUUUUGGACGAGAGAGAGAGAGAGAGAGAGAACGUAAUCUUUAGUUUUUAGCUUAUGUGUUAUAUAGAGUUUUACGGCACUUGCUACAGAAAUAGGUUAUAUAAGUCCCGAAGAUUAGAGGUGUUACUAGUGAGUAUUAUACAAAGAAAAGAUAGAAAAAA